GUGAGACUUUGGACUGCCAACUUUUGAGUUAAUGCUGAAGGCUGGACUCUUGGUCUGUCGUCCAGGAUAGAGGGCAGGGAUGCCAUCACUACUCACUAUAACCUCAAACUCCUGGGCUCAAGCAAUCCUCCCACCUCAGCCUCCGGAGUAGCCGGGACUACAGGCAUGCCCCACCACAUUCGGCUAAUUUUUAAAAUUUUUUUGUAGAGACAGGGUCUCACUAUAUUGUCCAGGCUGCUCUCAAAAUCCUGGCCUAAAGUGAUCCUCCUGCCUCAGCCUCCUGAGUAGCUGGGUUAGAUCCUGGCAAAUGAAAGGGCCCCCAGCUUUGACCUACCUUUGGGGAAGAUCUCACUGCACACAGGUUCUCACACAGCACACCCCGUCACACACAUGAACUCACACCGAGAACAUAUGAACACUACACACAUGUUCUCACACAGCACACCCUGUCACACAUAUGAACUCACACUGAGAACACGGGCAUCACACAUAGGGACUCACACAUAGAGGGCAUAUGAACACUACACACAUGUUCUCACACAGCACACACCCCGUCACACCCAUGAACUCACACCGAGAACACAACAUCACACACAGGGACUCACACAUAGAGGACAUGUGAACACUACACACACGUUCUCACACAGCACACCCUGUCACACAUAUGAACUCACACUGAGAACACAACAUCACACACAGGGACUCACGCACAGAGGACAUGUGGACACUACACACACGUUCUCACACAGCACACCCCGUCACACCCAUGAACUCACACCGAGAACACAACAUCACACACAGGGACUCACGCACAGAGGACAUGUGAACACUACACACACGUUCUCACACAGCACACACCCCGUCACACCCACACCCCCACAUGCGUAGACACACACAUCCUUACUCUGCGUGCAUCCCUGGCCUGGUGGACGGAAGAUCGAGCGCUCCGGGUGGACUUACGGCCACAGGACGGGGGCAGAGUCGGCAGGGAGGCCCCUCCGAGGCCCAGUGGGCCCCGCGCUGGCCCCGGCCGCAGACGCCCACCUGCUGCUGUGCUGGCUGCGGCGUGUGCCCCGGGCUCUGCGGCUGACCUGGCCUCCACGUCUCACCCAUGAAGCAGGCAUGAAAGGCUGGCCAGGUUGGCUAAAUGGGACCACAGCAGAAGCAUGAGCCCCAGAAUGUGCACGAAGGAAGAGAGAGCCGGGGGAGGUGGCGGGCUGGGUGUGCAGAGUGGGCCUGAGCUCCGGCCUCCUCCCUGGACGCCCUCCCGUGGCCGCAGCCAUCCCUGCACCCACUGGUGUGGCCUGACCCCUCACCCUGAGCCCACCCUUCGCGGCCACUAGGGAACCUCAGGAGAGGCCGCUGUGGUGGGGUGGGCGGAUCCCCCCGGAGCAGGCCCAGGCCCCUGCUCCUGAGCUCUCCGGCAGCGCCGCCUGCUGGCCACAGAGAGCCCACGUGCGCCAGCCGCCAGGCCUGGGCAUCUCCCCUCCUGCAGCGCCGCCUGCUGGCCACAGAGAACCCACGUGCGCCGGCCGCCAGGCCUGGGCAUCUCCUCUCCUGCAGCGCCGCCUGCUGGCCACAGAGAACCCGCGUGCGCCGGCCGCCAGGCCUGGGCAUCUCCUCUCCUGCAGCGCCGCCUGCUGGCCACAGAGAACCCGCGUGCGCCGGCCGCCAGGCCUGGGCAUCUCCUCUCCUGCAGCGCCGCCUGCUGGCCACAGAGAACCCGCGUGCGCCGGCCGCCAGGCCUGGGCAUCUCCUCUCCUGCAGCGCCGCCUGCUGGCCACAGAGAACCCGCGUGCGCCGGCCGCCAGGCCUGGGCAUCUCCUCUCCUGCAGCGCCGCCUGCUGGCCACAGAGAACCCGCGUGCGCCGGCCGCCAGGCCUGGGCAUCUCCUCUCCUGCAGCGCCGCCUGCUGGCCACAGAGAACCCGCGUGCGCCGGCCGCCUGGCCUGGGCAUCUCCUCUCCUGCAGCGCCGCCUGCUGGCCACAGAGAACCCGCGUGCGCCGGCCGCCAGGCCUGGGCAUCUCCCCGGGCCCUAGUUCCCCCCCUCACCUAAGGGGAGGGACUCCCGUCUUUCCAUCCACCCCCUCCUUGCCUCUGCAGAGCUCCAGGGAAGGCUGGCACCCGCUCACUGCAUUUAGACUCCAUCAGCUCUGCUGCCCCCUGCCCCAUACACGUGAUGGAGCAGAAAACGUGCUGUGUGAACCUGUGACUUCAGGGCCUGUUGACGUGGUCGUGCUUGCAUACUCUCUGGUGAGGGGUGGGGAGAGGGGGUGGGAGACGGGUAGAAAUAGAUGAAGUAGAUGAUGGGUGGAUUGCUGGCUAGAUAGAUGAUAGAUAGGGAUAGGUGGUAUAUGGGUGAUAGGUAACAGGUGAUGGAUAGAUGAUAGAAAUAGAUGAUGGAUAGAUACUUGAUAGGCAAAUUAGAUAAUAGAUAGCAAUAGAUGAACUAGAUGAUAGAUGGAAAGGUAGGUAGGUAGAUAGAUGGUUGAUAGAUAAAAAUAGAUGAAAUAGAUGGCAUGGUUAGAUAGGUGGGUAGGUAGAUAGAUGACAGAUAGAAAGACAAUAGACCACUGGGGGCUGAGCCUGGCCUGAGCCAGAAAGGUGAGAAGGGGACAGCGGUGAGGACCCCACAGGUCCCUGCUCUCACCCCUAUUAGCCCCAGUGUUUGGCCUGAGCUCUGACUGACAGCUCCCUCUUUCCGAGAUGAGACUCAAGAGGAGGAAGAGGGGACUUCCUAAGGACAGGGAUUCUUGGUGUCUCCUUGGGGGUGGUAGACACUGCCUGCCUCGCCUGCUGUGGCCUCUCUGCACACAACCAACGACCCCUAAAGGGCUCCGUGGGCACCCAUGCUGCCCCCAUCAGCUGACACCCCCUGUGCGAAGAUUCUCCUCCUCCUCUUCCUCCUGCCUUUCUGUCCCCUCAUCCUCCUCUUUAUGGAAUUAACUUCCCUUGGUCAACAUCUUCCUGCUUCACUCACUUCCCUAAACUCCUCCCUAUCCCUUCUCAAUCUGCAAGAAAAAUGUAGAAGGAAUAUGGUAAAGGAAAGCUUUGAGCCCAUAUUUGGGUCCAAUGCCGACACCACAUGCCCCAAAGCCCCCUUGAGAGCAUCCACGUCCGUGUAGUUGAGUAUUGCCCGAGCUGGAGUGAGAUUUGCCUCUCUACGGAGCUGCCUUCCUGCAGUUCAAGAGCACUGUCUCUUUUCUGGGCCUCCUGCCUGGUGCAAGGGCCCCAGCUGAGCCUCCUCCAGCUCUGACCUCUGGUGGUUCCGGGCUGCCCCAGAGGGUCUUGCCCAGGCUCUGACACUUGGCAUGGUCUGGGAGCUCCAGCAGCCACAGCCCAGCCCUGGGGAGGCUUUGUGGUCUCUGAGGGGGAAGGUGCACUCCCCCAACUCCAGUUCAUGUUUUUCCCUCCAACUCUAAGCCUUUUUCUUCCUCUGCUAUUACCCAGGCACCCUACCCUGUCAACAACACUGGCCUUCAAGACCCUUUGUAGCAUAACUCCCACCUAUAACUCCCACCUGAAGCCAGCCCUUCCC
rnacentral:lncRNA from 10 species